rnacentral:lncRNA from 1 species
AUGAUGCUAAACUUGUAGUUGUGUUUUACGGGUGGGAUGUACAUUACAUAUGUGUACAUGUGGAUAGUAAAAAACGAUGUUGUGUAAUACUAGUAAAUGUGUACAUGUACAUGUUCAGUGUCCAUAUGGACAACGUGUGAACAACAUAUUUGGAAGAUACAAAUGUACAGUGUCCAUCUGUACAUGACGCUAAACUUGUGAUAGGUUUUUUGGUAGGGGAAGUGUACAUUAAAUAUGUGUACAUGUGGAAACAACGCAGACAAGAAAAUGUGUACAUGGAAGAAACUGAUGUAC